UAAAAUGGUGCAUGAAAAAAAAUCUGAAAA
rnacentral:piRNA from 1 species